CGCNUAAUACAUGCAAGUNGAACGAGAAAGCAUUUCGGUGCGAGUACAGUGGCGGACGGGUGAGUAACGCGUAGGAAUCUACCUAGUAGUGGGGGACAACUCGGGGAAACUCGAGCUAAUACCGCAUACGCUCUAUGGAGGAAAGUGGGGGACCUUUGGGCCUCACGCUAUUAGAGGAGCCUGCGUUAGAUUAGCUAGUUGGUGAGGUAAGGGCUCACCAAGGCUACGAUCUAUAGCUGGUCUGAGAGGACGAUCAGCCACACUGGAACUGAGACACGGUCCAGACUCCUACGGGAGGCAGCAGUAGGGAAUCUUGGGCAAUGGGCGAAAGCCUGACCCAGCGAUGCCGCGUGUGCGAAGAAGGCCUUAGGGUUGUAAAGCACUUUCAGUUGCGAAGAAAAGCUGCGAUCCAAUACAUCGCAGUCUUGACGUUAACAACAGAAGAAGUACCGGCUAACUCCGUGCCAGCAGCCGCGGUAAUACGGAGGGUACGAACGUUAAUCGGAAUUACUGGGCGUAAAGCGCGCGUAGGCGGUUUGAUAAGUGGGAUGUGAAAGCCCCGGGCUUAACCUGGGAACUGCAUUCCAAACUGUCAGACUAGAGUGUGGUAGAGGGAGGUAGAAUUUCCUGUGUAGCGGUGAAAUGCGUAGAUAUAGGAAGGAAUACCGAUGGCGAAGGCAGCCUCCUGGACCAACACUGACGCUGAGGCGCGAAAGCGUGGGGAGCAAACAGGAUUAGAUACCCUGGUAGUCCACGCCGUAAACGAUGAGAACUAGCCGUUGGGGCCUUUAAGGCCUUGGUGGCGCANCUAACGCGAUAAGUUCUCCGCCU
rnacentral:rRNA from 1 species